AAUCCCUUUUUUAACCUUGAAACCAACUCCUCUGACCCAUUCACUAUCGUAACAGCUGAUAGGUACCAACUCUUCAAGGGAGGGGGAUAUUGUGGCAGAUAUCAACAUAAGUAUUGGAAAAUGUUCAAUUGUACACACUCGCAACGCACAGGAUCCUCUCGAUCCUUCGACGUCUACACGUGCACAAUAGGGAAGUCCACUACACAAAGCUUGACGCCUCCUUGGGUCAACUGCAAGAGAGGGGGUGAGUGGAUCAAUAGUUUCCAACCCUUUAAUGUGAGUGGUGCCACGAUAUACUGUACUGGCGAUCAGCUUGGUAACGCCAGCGGGUGCUGUGGAUGGGCUGCCACAGUCUUCCCACCAGGAGCAUGGCUUAAUUGUAAAAGUAGUACCUUCUCCAAGCCAAAGGCGCUACCACCUAACAUCUUCCUCAUUUGUGGAGAUCGCGCGUGGCAAGGAAUACCAAGCCGUCCGGUAGGGGGUCCUUGCUAUCUGGGUAGGCUCGCCAUGUUAGCACCUAAUCACACGGAAAUCAUUAAGACUCUUAGAAUGCUCAGCGAUACAACACGAACACCUAGCAGACCAAAACGAAGCAUAAAGCAUAUGGGCGAGACGUGCUCAGAUGGCGUGCAGCUUUGGAGUGCCACGGCAAGAAUCUUCGCGUCUAUCCUAGCUCCGGGAGUGGCAGCGGCACAGGCUUUAAAGGAAAUUGAGAGACUGGCUUGUUGGUCCGUUAAACAGGCCAAUGUGACAACAUCACUCCUCAACAAUCUGUUAAUGGACGUCACGAGUAUCAGACACGCGGUCCUACAGAACCGAGCAGCUAUUGACUUCUUGCUUUUGGCUCAGGGCCAUGGUUGUGAGGACAUUGCAGGGAUGUGCUGUUUCAAUCUCAGCGAUCACAGUGAAUCGAUGCACAAGAAGCUCCAGUAUCUGAAGGAACAUGUCAACAAGAUCGGCGUGGAGACGGACACCAUCGGGGACUGGUUAAGAAGUGUGUUUGGAG
rnacentral:lncRNA from 1 species